UAGCUUAACUCACCCAACAAUUGAACAAUAUAAAUAAAUAAAAAUAAGUCUAACACUAAAAACUAAACCAUUCUUUUACCUGAGUAUGGGAGACAGAAAAGGUUACACCGAAGCAAUAGAGAUAGUACCGCAAGGGAAGGCUGAAAGAGAAAUGAAACAACCCAUAUAAGCAUAAAAAAGCAAAGAUUAAAUCUUGUACCUUUUGCAUCAUGAUUUAGCCAGCACACCCAAGCAAAGAGACCUUUAGUUUGAAACCCCGAAACCAGGUGAGCUACCCCGAGACAGCCUAUUAUAGGGCCAACCCGUCUCUGUGGCAAAAGAGUGGGAAGAACUCCGGGUAGAGGUGAUAGACCUACCGAACCUGGUGAUAGCUGGUUGCCUAAGAAAUGAAUAGAAGUUCAGCCUCGUACUCCCCAAAUCAAAACACCAACAAGACACCAAGAGAAAUAUACGAGAGUUAGUUAAAGGGGGUACAGCCCCUUCAACAAAGGACACAACCUUUCCAGGAGGAUAAAGAUCAUAACACAUAAAACAUGCUACUUUAGUGGGCCCAAAAGCAGCCACCUAGACAGAAAGCGUUAUAGCUCAGACAGAAAAAAGUUUAUUAUACUGACAAAAAAUCUUACUCCCCUAACUACUAUUAGGCCAACCCAUGCCUACAUUGGAGAGACUAUGCUAAAAUGAGUAACAAGAAGGCCCGCCCUUCUCCAUAGCGCAAGUGAAAGCCAAACCGGACCAACCAUUGGCAACUAACGAACUCAACCCCAGAGAGCAGUGUGAACUACAAAAAACCAAGAAAAACUCACAACCCGCUUAUCGUUACCCCCACACUGGAGCGCCACUAAAGGAAAGACUAAAAAAAAGGGAAGGAACUCGGCAAACAUAAGCCUCGCCUGUUUACCAAAAACAUCGCCUCCUGCAACACAACCGAGUAUAGGAGGUCCAGCCUGCCCAGUGACCACAAGUUUAACGGCCGCGGUAUCCUGACCGUGCAAAGGUAGCGCAAUCACUUGUCUUUUAAAUAGAGACCUGUAUGAAUGGCCAAACGAGGGCUUAACUGUCUCCCAUUUCAAGUCAGUGAAAUUGAUCUACCCGUGCAGAAGCGGGCAUUAACAUACAAGACGAGAAGACCCUUUGGAGCUUAAGGUAAAAAUUCAACCACGUCAAGCAACUUAAAACAAGUUUUUAAACUUUGUGGCACAUGAAACUAUACCUUCGGUUGGGGCGACCAUGGAGGAAAACAAAGCCUCCAAGUGGAAUGGGACAACCCCCUUAAGCUAAGAGAGACAUCUACAAGCCACAGAACAUCUGACCAUAAAUGAUCCGGCCAACAAGACCGAUCAACGAACUAAGUUACCCUAGGGAUAACAGCGCAAUCCUCUCCCAGAGUCCAUAUCGACGAGAGGGUUUACGACCUCGAUGUUGGAUCAGGACAUCCUAAUGGUGCAACCGCUAUUAAGGGUUCGUUUGUUCAACGAUUAAAGUCCUACGUGAUCUGAGUUCAGACCGGAGCAAUCCAGGUCGGUUUCUAUCUGUAACGCCACUUUUCCCAGUACGAAAGGAUCGGAAAAGAGGGGCCCAUGCUUACAACACGCCCCACCCCUAAUUUAUGUAAACAAAUAAAUACAGGUAAGGGAGGGCCAAAACCCAAACCAAGACAAGGACA
rnacentral:rRNA from 1 species